ACUCAAAUGAAUUGACGGGGGCCCGCACAAGCGGUGGAGCAUGUGGUUUAAUUCGAUGCAACGCGAAAAACCUUACCUACCCUUGACAUCCUGGGGAGCUUUUAGAGAUAGAAGUGUGCCUGCAAAGGAGCCUAGAGACAGGUGCUGCAUGGCUGUCGUCAGCUCGUGUCGUGAGAUGUUGGGUUAAGUCCCGUAACGAGCGCAACCCCUAUUCUUAGUUGCCAGCGAGUAAAGUUGGGCACUCUAAGGAGACUGCCGGUGAUAAACCGGAGGAAGGUGGGGAUGAUGUCAAGUCAUCAUGGCCCUUAUGGGUAGGGCUACACACGUGCUACAAUGGCCGGUACAAAGGGAAGCGAAGCUGUGAAGUGGAGCGAAUCCUAAGAAGCCGGUCGUAGUCCGGAUUGGAGUCUGCAACUCGACUCCAUGAAGUCGGAAUCGCUAGUAAUCGUGGAUCAGCAUGCCACGGUGAAUACGUUCCCGGGCCUUGUACACACCGCCCGU
rnacentral:rRNA from 1 species